rnacentral:lncRNA from 1 species
AACACAAGGGCCUGGUGUUAUCAAUGGGGGAAGAUAGAUGUAAAUUACAGCACAAUGAACUCCGGUGAAUUGGCUGUUUAGUGGGACAAUGGGCUAAAAGAUGUUGUUUGGAGCACCUCAUUAAUAAAAUUCAAAAUUGUUUUCUGCAAUUAUGUGCAAUCAUUGCUUAUUUUACCCCCAGCCAAGUAGAGUCCCACUGCCAAUCUAUGGCUUUGGUUUCAAUUGCCAAGAAAAUUUCCCUGGCAGAGAGGUGAGAAUAGAAGAGGGAGCUCAGAUUCGGAUUUGAGGAGCCCCUGAUUAGCUAACAGAAUUAUCUGUCAGGAGAAGAAACCUGCUGGAAAAGGGAACCAAGUGUCUCUCCAAGGUAGGGCUUGGGCACACAGCCCACCUCUGCAGGGGCUUCACCAGAUGGUUUUACAGCCAGACAGAAAAAGGAAGGCUACUCUCUUCUCUGAUACUCCCUCCUGCUACAGCUCUUUUAUGAGAUACAUUUUUCAGGAGAUCUAACAGUGUUGGCACCUGGUGAGGAACUGACUAAUGCAGGCCAGAAGUGGACACAUUUCUUUACCAAAAAGGAUGAUGGUGUGAAAAACGAUAUGUAUGUGUGUUUGGGAGGAGCUGUGGGAGGUGGGCAGUGGAAAGUGGAAACUACCCACCUAGCACGGAGGAGGGAAAAGCUCCUCAAGCCUUCACUGUAGACCAUCCCGUGGUUUCCUCUAAAGUGAAUGCUCCAGAAAUUCUAUCAUGUUUCUUCCAGGUCCAGUAAGCAACUCUCCCGCUGGUCCUUACCUACAGAGCCCACGUCUGCUGCUCACUCUGUAAUUUACCCCUCCCUCUGUGAGGACUCUUCCCGCCAAAGCUGUCUUUCAAGUUAGCCAAUCAGGUUCAGUUCAGAUUGAGCGGUUCAACUCCAGCCAAUGGAGGCAGGACACAGCCGUUAGGAAUAGGAAUAAGGACAAGUUGUGUUAGGAACAACAAAAAAAAUCCCUUUCCCUCCUACGUUCGGUGUGCUCUCAUGGCAACCAGUCCUGUGAGAAGCACCCUUCUGCAGAAGUAAAUUUGCCUUGCUGAGAAAUCUCGUUUGAGUGCUUGUUUUCCUUGUGACUCCGAGCUUUGCUUCCAACACAGGGAGUCCUGCCUUAAUUCCAGGCAUCCUAUUCUAUUUAUUCAUCCAUUUGCUCAUUCAGCAAUGCCCCACUCUGCCCUUCUCUGCCAAGUACCUUGCUAGGCUUCUCUCUUCGAGGACCCUAGGCCAAGAUCAUCAAAGCAAAACACAUCCCAUUUAAAUAUCAUCAUGCUAAAUCAGACUUGAUCAUUAUAGCUGGUCAAAAUAAUUUGGAUUCUUAAUUCUGUGAUCUCUGUAUCUUUCUGUAUUUUCCACAUUCUCUACAAU